CAUCUCUGUACCCCACACAUACAGAUAACUGUAAGGUCCCUCAUCUCUGUACCCCACACAUACAGAUAACUGUAAGGUCCCUCAUCUCUGUACCCCACACAUACAGAUAACUGUAAGGUCCCUCAUCUCUGUACCCCACACAUACAGAUAACUGUAAGGUCCCUCAUCUCUGUACCCCACACAUACAGAUAACUGUAAGGUCCCUCAUCUCUGUACCCCACACAUACAGAUAACUGUAAGGUCCCUCAUCUCUGUACCCCACACAUACAGAUAACUGUAAGGUCCCUCAUCUCUGUACCCCACACAUACAGAUAACUGUAAGGUCCCUCAUCUCUGUACCCCACACAUACAGAUAACUGUAAGGCCCUUCAGUCCAGCAGUGAAUUUCAAACACGGAUUCAACCACAAAGACCAGGGAGUUUUUCCAAUCCUCACAAAGAAGGUCACCUAUUGGUAGAUGGGUAAAAAAUAAAUAAAAAGCAGAUAUUGAAUAUCCCUUUGAGGUGAAGUUAUUCAUUACACUUUGGAUGGUGUAUCAAUACACCCAGUCACUACAGAGAUACAGGCGUCCUUCCUAACUCAGUUGCCGGAGAGGAAGGAAAGAACUCAGUGAUUUCACCAUGAGGUCAAUGGUGACUUUACAACAGGUAGAGGUCAAUGAUGACUUUACAACAGGUAGAGGUUAAUGGCUUUGAUAGGAGAAAACUGAGGAUGGAUAAGGUAAGUGGACAGGUGGGUCAGGACAGGUAAGUGUGUAGAUGGGCCAGGACAGGUAAGUGUGUAGAUGGGUCAGGACAGGUAGCAGGACAUGUAGGUGUGUAGAUGGGUCAGGACAGGUAGCAGGACAUGUAGGUGUGUAGAUGGGUCAGGACAGGUAAGUGUGUAGAUGGGUCAGGACAGGUAAGUGUGAAGAUGGGUCAGGACAGGUAAGUGGACAGAUGGGUCAGGACAGUGUAAGUGUGUAGAUGGGUCAGGACAGGUAAGUGUGUAGAUGGAUCAGGACAGGUAAGUGUGUAGAUGGGUCAGGACAGGUAAGUGUGUAGAUGGGUCAGGACAGGUAGGUGUGUAGAUGGGUCAGGACAGGUAGGUGUGUAGAUGGGUCAGGACAGGUAGGUGUACAGUCAGGACAGGUAAGAGAACAGCCAGGACAGGUAGGUGUGUAGAUGGGUCAGGACAGGUAGGUGUGUAGAUGGGUCAGGACAGGUAGGUGUGUAGAUGGGUCAGGACAGGUAGGUGUGUAGAUGGGUCAGGACAGGUAGGUGUGUAGAUGGGUCAGGACAGGUAAGUGUGUAGAUGGGUCAGGACAGGUAGGUGUGUAGAUGGGUCAGGACAGGUAGGUGUGUAGAUGGGUCAGGACAGGUAGGUGUGUAGAUGGGUCAGGACAGGUAGGUGUGUAGAUGGGUCAGGACAGGCAGGUGUGUAGAUGGGUCAGGACAGGUAGGUGUGUAGAUGGGUCAGGACAGGCAGGUGUGUAGAUGGGUCAGGACAGGUAGGUGUGUAGAUGGGUCAGGACAGGUAGGUGUGUAGAUGGGUCAGGACAGGUAGGUGUGUAGAUGGGUCAGGACAGGCAGGUGUGUAGAUGGGUCAGGACAGGUAGGUGUGUAGAUGGGUCAGGACAGGUAGGUGUGUAGAUGGGUCAGGACAGGUAGGUGUGUAGAUGGGUCAGGACAGGCAGGUGUGAAGAUGGGUCAGGACAGGUCCCUCUGGUCCCAGAUCUAAGAGACAUCACGUCCUGUUGUCCCAGAUCUAAGAGACAUCACGUCCUGUUGUCCCAGAUCUAAGAGACAUCACGUCCUGUUGUCCCAGAUCUAAGAGACAUCACGUCCUGUUGUCCCAGAUCUAAGAGACAUCACGUCCUGUUGUCCCAGAUCUAAGAGACAUCACGUCCUGUUGUCCCAGAUCUAAGAGACAUCACGUCCUGUUGUCCCAGAUCUAAGAGACAUCACGUCCUGUUGUCCCAGAUCUAAGAGACAUCACGUCCUGUUGUCCCAGAUCUAAGAGACAUCACGUCCUGUUGUCCCAGAUCUAAGAGACAUCACGUCCUGUUGUCCCAGAUCUAAGAGACAUCACGUCCUGUUGUCCCAGAUCUAAGAGACAUCACAUCCUGUUGUCCCAGAUCUAAGAGACAUCACGUCCUGUUGUCCCAGAUCUAAGAGACAUCACGUCCUGUUGUCCCAGAUCUAAGAGACAUCACAUCCUGUUGUCCCAGAUCUAAGAGACAUCACAUCCUGUUGUCCCAGAUCUAAGAGACAUCACGUCCUGUUGUCCCAGAUCUAAGAGACAUCACAUCCUGUUGUCCUCUGGUCCCAGAUCUAAGAGACAUCACGUCCUGUUGUCCCAGAUCUAAGAGACAUCACGUCCUGUUGUCCCAGAUCUAAGAGACAUCACGUCCUGUUGUCCCAGAUCUAAGAGACAGCCUAAAACCCCAAACAGCAAG